rnacentral:rRNA from 1 species
ACGGGAGGCAGCAGUGGGGAAUAUUGGGCAAUGGGCGAAAGCCUGACCUAGCAACGCCGCGUGAAGGAAGAAGGCCUUCGGGUUGUAAACUUCUUUUAUGAGGGACGAAGGACGUGACGGUACCUCAUGAAUAAGCCACGGCUAACUACGUGCCAGCAGCCGCGGUAAUACGUAGGUGGCAAGCGUUGUUCGGAUUUACUGGGUGUAAAGGGCGCGUAAGCGGGAUGGCAAGUCAGAUGUGAAAUCCAUGGGCUCAACCCAUGAACUGCAUUUGAAACUGUCGUUCUUGAGUAUCGGAGAGGCAAGCGGAAUUCCUAGUGUAGCGGUGAAAUGCGUAGAUAUUAGGAGGAACACCAGUGGCGAAGGCGGCUUGCUGGACGACAACUGACGCUGAGGCACGAAAGCGUGGGGAGCAAACAGGAUUAGAUACCCUGGUA